UGUCCUCCACGGGAUGAUGGCGUAAUACAUCGCCGAUCCGUUGCUCCCGCCAUAGCCAACCGACGCAUCUUCCUCCUGCUAGUACGACCACCAAUCAGAGGGAAGUUGUGGGAAAAAUUAUUGUCAUCUUAAUGGACCACCAAGCACAUUUUGAAUAAAUGCAACUAAAAGUUAGAAUAGUAUCAUGGGGAAAUUUACUCUCCUUUCAUGAACCCAUAUAAAUAUAAUCACAUAAAAAACCAAAAAAUAUGCGUCCCUUUCUUGAACCCAUAUAAAUAUAAGCACAUAAAAAAACCAAAAAAAUAUGUGUCACGAUUCAUAAGUGAAUAGCACGUGGUAGAUCAUAUAUGCACUUAUUCCAAAUGUGCUCGGAUGAGUGAUAGAUACACUUAUACAAAUAUUGCAUUUGUAUUUUGGACCUUAUAUAGUCAUGAGUUGAUAAUCAGUACAUCCUUUUAUUAUGCAUUUUAUCUGUCUCAUUCGCAUUCUUAAAAAUAAAGAUACUCACUCUGAUUCAUAUUAUUUGUUUUUAUUUUGUCUAGAUACAGAUAUAUCUAAUCAUUUGAGAUACAUAUUAUUUGUCUUAAAUUUGUGUAGCUACGGACUAAUGUAUCUUAAACUGUUUGGUAUCUGUGUCUAAAAUCGUCUGGUUUUAGAUACAUCCAUAUCUAGACAAAUCUAAAACAAAUAAUAUGGAUAGAGGGAUAUAUUAAUUUGAGACAUUUUUAUUUAACUAUAGUAUAAAAUAAUAAAGUAUUAUUCUCAAAACAAUAAAGGAUAAUAAUAAAAUACACAUAUUUGAUCUUCAUUGGAACCAUCCUGACCUAUCUCUUCGAAAUAGACAACUUUAUCUCUUCACAUGGAUAAGCUUAGACGGCAGCUGACCAGCUAAAAUAAUUCACAUGCAUGCACUCCCAACCUUAUCUCUUCCAGGCAACCCGCGCUCUAUACUGCUCCUUGUUCGUCAAAGUUGAGACAGAUAGAGGAUGCGGUAGGGGAGGCCGGGAAGGGUGCUGCUGGCCGCACGGCUCGUCUAUGUGGCUGCUCGGCGACGUCGAGCGUGUGGCGGGGCUGGAGGAGUUGGGUGCUGGGCCUACCCUGUGAUGAGCUUGAUUCCUCGCCCGCGACCCUGUGUUCAUGCCGUCGGUCGGAGGUCGAGCAGACCGCUUGAACGGCGCUGCUGCUGCUCGUUUGGAGUGCACGGGCCGUUGGCUUCUUCGAGAGGCUCUGGGACGCCGGUGGCGCAGGCGCCACGGGUCUCGCCGCGAUGUUCGGGCAGCGGGCCCGGCUUCGGAUAUGCACCGACGGUCAAUUCAGGGCAGCGGAGAGGAGCGGCGGCAAGGUCAGCGCCGCGUCUCUGUCCAAUCUCUCUCUUCUCUCCGUCGACAGGAACCGGAGAAAGGCGCCGCCAUUGGCGACCAUGGAGCUCAUUAUUGUCUUACAUGGUAUCACGCUAGGUUACGAUCGCUUUCGCUUCUAAACCCUAAUACCCGCACCGCCGCCGCAGCCACCUUCACCGUCGUCGCCGCGCCACCGAUCGCGCCGCCGCCAUGUCGAGCGCCGCCACCAUCGGUUCCACUGCUGCGGGCUUCCUCCCGGCCUCUCUUGCGG
rnacentral:lncRNA from 1 species